GGGCAAUGGCCUCUUCUUGCUGUUGCUUUGGCAAUUUGCUUUGUAGCCAACACUGUUUUUGCUGAUUACUCUUAUGGGUAUACUUCUCCCUCACCUUCUUACAUUUCUAAGAAGUAUUACAAAUCACCAUCUUCACCCAAGUCGUGGCAACCUUAUUUCUUUUUCAUUUUAAUAUUCUUUGUUUCUAUAAUUUUUAGUCACCAAAAAAAUGCUUGCCACUAAAUAGUGACCUAGUCUUUAUUUGGACUUUGCUAUCAUCUUAGUGGUUAACCAUGAUGCAGUUAUAUAAAUGUUAAGAAAGAUGUCUCGCUGCAAUAUAAAAACUAGAGUUCCACACUUAACUAUGCAAUACAAGUCUUAAUUAGUUCUAUCCUUCCAAUAUAGUUGCAAAAUGAGAAGUUUUGGGAAUUUAGGGCAAUGGCCUCUUCUUGCUGUUGCUUUGGCAAUUUGCUUUGUAGCCAACACUGUUUUUGCUGAUUACUCUUACGGGUAUACUUCUCCCUCACCUUCUUACAUUUCUAAGAAGUAUUACAAAUCACCAUCUUCGCCCAAGUAUCAUGUACUAAUUCCUCACUAUAAGUCACAUGCUCCUGCAAAGCAUUAUUAUAAGUUACCGGCUCCCGUAAAAUACUACAAUUCUCCAGUUUCCGUAAAAUACUACAAGUCGCCAGUUCCCGUAAAAUACUACAAAUCGCCAGCUCCCACAAAAUACAAUAAGUCGCCAGCUCCCGCAAAAAACUACCACAAAUCGCCAUCACCUGCAAAGUACUACAAAGCGCCAACUCCCACAAAAUACUACAAGGGGCCAGCUCCCACAAAAUACUAUAAGCCACCAGCUCCUGCAAAAUACUAC
rnacentral:lncRNA from 1 species